rnacentral:rRNA from 1 species
CUACGGGGCGCUGCAGCCGAGAAUAUUCGACAAUGGGCGAAAGCCUGAUCGAGCGACGCCGCGUGCAGGAAGAAGGCCUUCGGGUUGUAAACUGCUUUUCUCCUAGAAGAAGUAUAGCCGCAAGGCUGUAUUGACAGUAUAGGAGGAAUAAGGGGAUCCUAAUUCUGUGCCAGCAGGAGCGGUAAGACAGAAUCCCCAAGCGUUACCCGGAUUUAUUGGGCGUAAAGGGUCCGUAGGCGGCUGGGCGUGUCCUUAGUUAAACACUCAAGGCUCAACCUUGGGAAAGCUAAGGAAACUACCCGGAUAGAGGGCGUUAAAGGCUAGCGGAACGCACGGUGUAGGGGUGAAAUCCGUUGAUAUCGUGCGGAACACCAAAAGCGAAGGCAGCUAGCUGGGGCGACCCUGACGCUGAGGGACGAAAGCGUGGGGAUAGAACGGGAUUAGAUACCCCCGUAGUC